rnacentral:rRNA from 1 species
CCCAAGAGAUCGGGAUAACACCUGGAAACAGAUGCUAAUACCGGAUAACAACAGAUGGUGCCUAUCAACUGUUUAAAAGAUGGUUCUGCUAUCACUCUUGGAUGGACCUGCGGUGCAUCAGCUAGUUGGUAGGGUAACGGCCUACCAAGGCGAUGAUGCAUAGCCGAGUUGAGAGACUGAUCGGCCACAUUGGGACUGAGACACGGCCCAAACUCCUACGGGAGGCAGCAGCG